CUGCCGGACCCGACCGGUAUCGGGGUGGGGCUAAUCCAUGCAAGUCGUACGUCCUCCAGCCACGUGGGGGACGUGGCGCACGGCUCAGUAGUACGCAGCUAACCUACCCUAAGGAGGGGGAUAAUCCCGGGAAACUGGGGCUAAUCCCCCAUGGACCUGGGGCACUGGAAGGUCCCUAGGUCGAAACGGGUGGACUGGCAUGCCGGUUCACCUGCCUUAGGAUGGGGCUGCGUCCGAUCAGGUAGUUGGUGGGGUAAUGGCCCACCAAGCCUAUGACCGGUGCGGGCUCUGAGAGGAGGAGCCCGGAGAUGGACCCUGAGACAAGGGUCCAGGCCCUACGGGGCGCAGCAGGCGCGAAACCUUCGCAAUGCCCGAAAGGGUGACGAGGCUACCCCGAGUGCCGUCCGCUAAGGACGGCUUUUGUCGGGUCUAAAAAGCCCGACGAAUAAGGGGAGGGCAAGUCUGGUGUCAGCCGCCGCGGUAAUACCAGCUCCCCGACUGGUCGGGACGAUUAUUGGGUCUAAAGCGUCCGUAGCCGGCCCUGUAUGUGAUCCGUUAAAUCCAGCGGCUCAACCGCUGGGCUGCGGAUCAUACUAUGGGGCUAGGGGACGGGAGAGGCCGGGGGUACUCCGCGGGUAGGGGUAAAAUCCGCUGAUCCGCGGAAGACCAACAGUGGCGAAGGCGUCCGGCCAGAACGCGCCCGACGGUGAGGGA
rnacentral:rRNA from 2 species